rnacentral:rRNA from 1 species
UACGUAGGUGGCGAGCGUUGUCCGGAUUUAUUGGGUUUAAAGGGUGCGUAGGCGGCUUUGUAAGUCAGUGGUGAAGAUACUCCAGCUUAACUGGAGGGGUGCCAUUGAUACUGCGGAGCUUGAGUACAGAUGAGGUAGGCGGAAUUGACGGUGUAGCGGUGAAAUGCUUAGAUAUCGUCAAGAACACCGAUAGCGAAGGCAGCUUACUAGACUGUAACUGACGCUGAUGCACGAAAGUGUGGGGAUCAAACAGG